rnacentral:rRNA from 1 species
UCGCACGAGAAAGUGGAGCAAUCCAUGAGUACAGUGGCGUACGGGUGAGUAACACGUGGAUCAUCUACCUUUUAGUGGGGAAUACCCCUGGGAAACCGGGGACAAUACCGCAUAAGCUCGAAAGAGGAAAGCCGAAAGGCGCUGAAAGAGGAGUCCGCGGCUGAUUAGCUAGUUGGCGGGGUAACGGCCCACCAAGGCGAAGAUCGGUAGCCGGCCUGAGAGGGCACACGGCCACACUGGCACUGAAACACGGGCCAGACUCCUACGGGAGGCAGCAGUGGGGAAUCUUGCACAAUGGAGGAAACUCUGAUGCAGCGACGCCGCGUGAGCGAUGAAGCCCUUCGGGGUGUAAAGCUCUUUCGACGGGAACGAUAAUGACGGUACCCGAAGAAGAAGCUGCGGCUAACUACGUGCCAGCAGCCGCGGUAAUACGUAGGCAGCGAGCGUUGCUCGGAAUUACUGGGCGUAAAGAGUGCGUAGGCGGUGUUCUAAGUCUGUUGUGAAAUCUCCCGGCUUAACUGGGAGGGUGCGGCGGAAACUGGAAUGCUCGAGUGUGGGAGAGGUAAGCGGAAUUCCUGGUGUAGCGGUGAAAUGCGUAGAUAUCAGGAGGAACACCUGUGGUGUAGACAGCUUACUGGACCACGACUGACGCUGAGGCACGAAAGCGUGGGUAGCAAACAGGAUUAGAUACCCUGGUAGUCCACGCCCUAAACGAUGCAUACUUGGUGUGAGCCAUUCAUUUGGGUCGUGCCGGAGCUAACGCGUUAAGUAUGC